GUGAAGUGGGACUUAGUUCUUCUAUGUUUGGCCUCUGUGUUAUUUAUUUUAUUUAUUUUUUUGACAACUAGCUUAGAUAAGAGUUGAUCCUCCAAUUUCACUUAAUAAAUAGUGUCAAACCAUAAGCUUUGACAAUCAUUUUUAAUUUUUAUUGCAUAUAGCUCUAUGUAUUAUGACAUGGGCUACCACAGAUUCUGAUUAUAUUCACUCUUCAUCUAUUCUAAGCAGGUUUAGAUUGUUUGUGAUUGUGCCUGUCAUUUUUUUAUUUGAUCAUUAUUAGUUUUGCUUCCCAUGACCAAAUUAAAAGUCAUUUGUUAGCUGCCUGGAUAGCUUGGUAUCUAAUAUGUUACAGAGUCAGACCCUUUACUUCAAAUGUAAAAUGCAAUGCAGUAAAUGAAAUAUACUCAUUUAGCGCUUUUUUAUCCUGCUCACACUGGUGCCAACCUAUGCUAUAUUAUCAAAGUAUUGGCUCACACUAGGGAUGGCCCGUUUGACACGGGGCUUCGGCGCGCGGUUCAGCUUCAUGAAACAGAGUGUUUCGGCACAAUGUUUCGAAGCGUGUGUCAACCAGCGCAGAUCACGUGAUUGAUGACGUGUGACGCGCCAAAUGCAUCACUCACCUGAACCAGGUUUCAGAUCUCAGGUGUGUUUGAUCAGAAGGGCGCGCUGUUGUCUAUAAAUACAGAUGAAUCCCAAACAACGUUUCCCGACCAGUUCUGUUGUUUCCCGUGUAUCGUAAGAAUCUACGUCAUGGCACCCGGUAAAAAACGUUCUGUGGCUUGGGAUCAUUUCAACUUGAUUUCUCCAAAUAAGGUGCAAUGUUUGAUUUGCAAACAUGAAUUUGCAUUUAAUGAUAGUACAUCCUCCAUGAUGCGACAUCUCCGCUCCGUUCAUUAUGUUGAAACUCCGCAGUCGGCAAAUCAAGCCUUCAAUCCACCUUGUAUUGGUAAUAAGAAUAUAUCCAACUAAUGGCACACUAAGAACUGAAACAGAUAGCUCAGUGGAAAAAUCAGUGACAUGUGAAUGCUGAGGUUCUGGGUUUGAGGCUCAGCUUCUACAAUUAAUUUUUUUUUUUUUCUUCAUAUGUAUAUUUUGCAGUGUCAAAAAAGCAAGAACUUGAUUCUGCAUUGGUGGAUAUGAUUGUAAUGGAUGCACAACCAUUUUCAAUUGUUGAAGACAAAGGCUUCAAGGCUUUUGUCAACCUUUUGGACCCAUCCUACAUAAUUCCUAAUAGGAAGGCCUUGAGGACAAUGGUGGAGGAGAAGUACAAAGCCAAAAAGGAGAAGGCUUUAGAUGUGGUUAGCAGGGCCUCUGCUGUCAGCCUUACAGCAGAUAUGUGGACAUCCAUUAACAUGGACGCUUACUUGGCUGUAACAUGCCAUUUUAUCACCGAGGAGGUAGGUAUCCCCUGCUUUGUGCAAUGCUUUGGUUUAUGUAUCUCAGUUUGACUUUGUUCAUUCUCGGUGGAGCUGGCCUCUGUGGUCUUGGGGGUUCUGAAGUUUCCCCAAACCCACACUGCAGCUCACUUGGCUGAGGCCAAAAAUCUUCUCAUGGAAGAAUGGGGAAUUAAAGGGAAGGUGCGAGCCAGAUCAAUAAAGUACAAGAUCAUUCAUCAAUAUGGCCUCCC